rnacentral:rRNA from 1 species
GUUUGAUCCUGGCUCAGAUUGAACGCUGGCGGCAGGCCUAACACAUGCAAGUCGAACGGUAACAGGAAGAAGCUUGCUUCUUUGCUGACGAGUGGCGGACGGGUGAGUAAUGUCUGGGAAACUGCCUGAUGGAGGGGGAUAACUACUGGAAACGGUAGCUAAUACCGCAUAACGUCGCAAGACCAAAGAGGGGGACUUUCGGGCCUCUUGCCAUCGGAUGUGCCCAGAUGGGAUUAGCUAGUAGGUGGGGUAACGGCUCACCUAGGCAACGAUCCCUAGCUGGUCUGAGAGGAUGACCAGCCACACUGGAACUGAGACACGGUCCAGACUCCUACGGGAGGCAGCAGUGGGGAAUAUUGCACAAUGGGCGCAAGCCUGAUGCAGCCAUGCCGCGUGUAUGAAGAAGGCCUUCGGGUUGUAAAGUACUUUCAGCGGGGAGGAAGGGAGUAAAGUUAAUACCUUUGCUCAUUGACGUUACCCGCAGAAGAAGCACCGGCUAACUCCGUGCCAGCAGCCGCGGUAAUACGGAGGGUGCAAGCGUUAAUCGGAAUUACUGGGCGUAAAGCGCACGCAGGCGGUU